GAUGAACGCUGGCGGCGUGCCUAAUACAUGCAAGUCGAGCGAACAGACGAGGAUCUUGCGCCGCUGACGUUAGGGGCGGACGUGUGAGUAACGCGUGUAUAACCUACCUAUAAGACGGAUAUAACUUCGGGAAACCGGAGCUAAUACGGUAGAAUAUAUUGAACCACAUUGUUCGAUGGUGAAAUACGGUGUUUCGGUAAGGUAUAGAGGGAUCCCCGCCGCAUUAGGUAGUUGGGAAGGUAACGGCUUAUCAAGGGAACGAUGCGUAGCCGACCUGAGGGGCGGGUCGGCCACAUUGGAGCUGAGCCGCGGUCCAGACGACUACGGGAGGCAGCAGUAGGGAACGUUACGCAGUGGUCGAAAGCAUGACGGAGUAAGCGCGCGUGAGUGAUGACGGCCUCCCGAUCGUAAAACCCUCUUAUUAGGGAAGAACCACUGUGUCCGUAGAUAUGCACGUAUUGACGGUACCUAAUCAGAAAGCACCGGCUAACUACGUG
rnacentral:rRNA from 1 species